rnacentral:snoRNA from 1 species
GGCCUCUGCGCUAACCACUCACUCUGGGAACCAAGGGAGGGCGUCAGAGGGGUAUGUACUUCACGCUCCCUGUGGCCAGGUCUGCCCAGGAAUUUGGCUUCUUUGGCCUAGGAGCUGCAGAAGGCAGUU